CAUAAACAGAGACCCAUGCACUUCACUUCUCUCUAUAAAAUCUCUUUCUUUCUAAUUGGGUUUCUGAGGCAUGGUUGCUGGCCAAAUCUGGAAUAGCCUAUUUCAUGGUUGUCUACCAUUUGAAGGAAAUCUUCUUCUUUGGGCAGAGCCCUUCCCGUCCACCAGCUAUACCAGUCUCUAGCUCAACACACGGUGCUUUGUUUAAGGAGGUUAGUCGGUAAAACCCAUUUGAUCAGUGACAGUAGAAGAGGCUUCAAAUUAGAGGUGUGUGCUUGAUGGAUUUCGUUUUCAGAAAUAAAUUCUCUGCUCUUGUUUUUGUGAAAAAACUUGGUUUUUAUGCUUUGACUGAUCUGUUUAUGUCACCAAUGUUAGCUGUAAGUUUGGUUUGUGUCACCAAUUUAAUGGGCUUUGCAUCAUCUCUCACAAACUACACUCUGUUUUUCUCAGACCAGUGGUGAUAUAUUGCUUUGGUGGGAGAACAGAGAAGUCAGAAAAAUUAAUUAAUUUAUUGAUAUACCCAUUUCUAGCACUAAUAUUAUAAAUAAACCCUACACAAUUGAAUUCCUAUAAACAAACCCAAAAAAAUCCCAAAAAAUGAUAGCUAGCCUUAUUGAAUUUAAUAUUGAUUAUUAAAUUACUUUGAUGCCCUAUUGAGUGCUUUGGGUAUUUUUAUGAGAUUUUGGAGUUGGGCUUGUUUUAAGAAAUUGAUGGCAGUUUUGUAAUUUAUAAAAAGUUAAAAGCUUUUUUGUUAUGUUGUAAAUGGGCUUUGGGUGUGUUUCUAAAGUCCAUUUUAUAUAGGGUAUUUUUAUAAU
rnacentral:lncRNA from 1 species